UCAGUCACUGUGGGGACAGGCCUCCCUUCUGGAACAUUCUGUAUGGAGUCAGGAUACAGCCCCUGACCUGAAGGGGUCACGUGAUGUAUUCCCCAAGAUUGGAGGUUAUAGAAAAAGGAAGGAGCUGUGACGUAUGACCUGCCCAUGGAGAGACUCAUGUGACAAAGACCUGAUUGGAGGGUCUUGAUCAACAGACAGAGAGGAAGUGAGGCCCCCCAGACCAACAGCUUACAGAGUCCUGCUCAUAACAUGGAAGUAAGUAGGGAGCAGAUCCUCCCCGGUCAAGACUCAGUUGAGCCCACAACCACAGGGUCCUGAGAACUUGGGGCAGUCACCAGUUGGUGAUCAAUGGAUCGUGGUCUAGCAUGCAGAAGUGAGUGAGUGGAGAAAAGCAGCAGAGCUGGUGGGUUGUGAAGACAUGUGUUUGAAGGCUGCCACACUCUCUACUCCAGGGAAGCAGCUGUGAUGUAUGACCUGCACAUGGAGAGACUCAUGUGACAAAGAGCUGAGGGAGGGUCCUGAUCAACAAAGAGGAAAUGAAGCCCCUAAGUCCAGCAGCUCUCAGAGUCCUGCUCAUAACAUGGAAGUGAAUAGGGAGCAGAUCUCCUGAGUCAGGACUCAGUUGAGACAACCACCACAGGCUCCUGAGAACUUGGGGCAGUUCCCAGAUUGUGACCUCCUGGGGACAGGGACCACGUGGGUCAUUUUCAGAACCAGCUCCUGGACCACCCGCUGAUGUUGAUCCUGAUCCUGCACUAACACUGGAGCCCCACAGUCCACCAACUAUUCUGUCACCAGCUCCAUCACCAGCAUCAGAUGGACAGGCAGCUGGAGGCGUAGAUUUCAAUCCUGGGCCACCUCCAGAAAUGGCUCCCAGAUGACCUGCUGAUGUCGAUCCUGUUCCUGCUCAACAUAAGAGCUCU